CAGUCAUACAUGCAGACACAGAGAGUGCUAUCCUGGUCCUCCCCAACUUGAAAAAAAUAAAUAAAGCUAAAAAGUACCUCUGUUUUAAUGUUAAGGGCAUGUUCUCCUCUCAGUCCUAAACUCGUCCACUGACCUCACUUCCUAUCACUGGAAGGGACAAUCAUGGCUCAAGACACCAUGACCACUUCAAUUCAGUGAGAGUGUCAUCAUUGGACUGUCAUCAGCCAGCCCAGAACUAGAGUUCCGGGAUGGCUUAUGUCAAUUCUGUGCAACUUUUAUU